rnacentral:tRNA from 2 species
UGCUGGUGUAGCACAGCUGGCAGUGCACUUCACUCGUAAUGAAGGGGUCGGAGGUUCGAAUCCUCUCACCAGCAUCC